UAUCGCCAAUCAAAACCUCAUCAAUUAUCGUCCACAACUCGAUCAUCUCUCCAAUGCUCUUGAGGCUGUUGAUUUUAGAAGUAGCCACAACAUGAAUAUUCCACCAGCAGUAAAGGUUUUUGAGGAGUUGUACGAAGCAGCGGUGAAUGAGAUCGUAGAGGUGUUGGCGUCUGUAUGCAAGACUCACAAUUUG